GAUGAACGCUAGCUACAGGCUUAACACAUGCAAGUCGAGGGGAAACGGCAUUGAGUGCUUGCACUCUUUGGACGUCGACCGGCGCACGGGUGAGUAACGCGUAUCCAACCUUCCCAUUACUGUGGGAUAACCUGCCGAAAGGCAGACUAAUACCGCAUAGUCUUCGAUGACGGCAUCAGAUUUGAAGUAAAGAUUUAUCGGUAAUGGAUGGGGAUGCGUCUGAUUAGCUUGUUGGCGGGGUAACGGCCCACCAAGGCGACGAUCAGUAGGGGUUCUGAGAGGAAGGUCCCCCACAUUGGAACUGAGACACGGUCCAAACUCCUACGGGAGGCAGCAGUGAGGAAUAUUGGUCAAUGGACGGAAGUCUGAACCAGCCAAGUAGCGUGCAGGAUGACGGCCCUAUGGGUUGUAAACUGCUUUUGUAUGGGGAUAAAGUUAGGGACGUGUCCCUUCUGCAGGUACC
rnacentral:rRNA from 1 species